GAUGAAGAACGCAGCGAAAUGCGAUACUUGGUGUGAAUUGCAGAAUCCCGUGAACCAUCGAGUCUUUGAACGCAAGUUGCGCCCGAAGCCAUUAGGCCGAGGGCGCGCCUGCCUGGGCGUCACACGUCGUUGCCCCCCCAUCUACUCCUUCGGGAUUGCGAGGGGCGGAUGAUGGCCUCCCGUGCGCCUCGUCGCGCGGUUGGCAUAAAUGCCAAGUCCUCGGCGACGCACGCCACGACAAUCGGUGGUUGCGAAACCUCGGUUGCCCGUCGUGUGCGGUCGUCGCGCAUCGAGGGCUCGAAAAAAUUGCCGGGCUCCGGCUCGGCUUUCAACGCGACCCCAGGUCAGGCGGGGUUACCCGCUGAAUUUAAGCAUAUCAAUAAGCGGAGGA
rnacentral:misc_RNA from 1 species